CGCCUCUUGCCACCUAUAAGAGGUCCAGCCUGCCCAGUGACUCUGUUCAACGGCCGCGGUAUCCUAACCGUGCGAAGGUAGCGUAAUCACUUGUCCUUUAAAUGAGGACUAGUAUGAACGGCUCAACGAGGGCUAUACUGUCUCCUUUUUCUAAUCAAUGAAACUAAUCUUCUCGUGAAGAAGCGAGAAUAAUUUUAUAAGACGAGAAGACCCUAUGGAGCUUUAAAUAACUGAAAAAUUUGCAUACCCCAUUUUCACCUUCCGAGCUGCUACUCUCUGAGCAUUUUUAUUUCUAAUUUUAGGUUGGGGUGACCACGGAGCAAAAUUUAACCUCCAUGACGAAGGAGACCCACUCUCUAAGCUAAAAGCUACUCCUUUAAGCAUCAACAAACUGACUUCUUUUGACCCAAUAAAUUGAUCAACGAACCAAGUUACCCUAGGGAUAACAGCGCAAUCUACUUCAAGAGCUCAUAUCGACAAGUAGGUUUACGACCUCGAUGUUGGAUCAGGGUAUCCUAGUGGUGCAGCCGCUACUAAC
rnacentral:rRNA from 1 species